UGCCAAAAUGAGAAAGUGCAGCAGCUAAAAACUUUCCAAUAGACUGUAUAUGUGGAGGUCUAGAAGAAGAUCCAAAUGCUAUCAAUGAUUUUAGCUUUCUAUUUAAUAAAUAAUAAGUUUAUUAUUUUACUAAUUAUAUAUUAAUUAUGAUUUGUUUAUCAUAUCAUAAUAUUAUAACAUUUAAAACACUAUUUAGUUCAGCCAGAAAAAAAGCAUGAAAGUAGAACAUAACUGGAAGAAGAUAUGAAAGAAGAAGCAGCAGCACAUCAGCACUGAUUUAUACAAGAGAGAAACUAAAACUGUGAUUUGCUAAUCUUCUUGGAUAUCUUUUGUUUGCUUGUAAAUGGAAAGCCUUUUUUUUAAGAAAAUUUAAUUUCAUUUUGGCUCAUUGUAGGUGUAAAAUGGAAUUCAUUACAUUUGAAGGGAUCUUGAAAAUGUUUUUAGAGCUUAAAAUUAUUGUAGAUUUCUAGCAACAUACAACCAAAGUAUAAAAUUAGAAAAAAUUAUUAUUGUAUGAAUGAAUUUUUUAUCACCUCAAGCAUCGAAAUGGGGUCCUCGAUUCAAUUGCUUGACGUCAUAGAAGAAUAGAGAUCUACCAAUAAUAGAAGAAAUAUACAUUAUUCUGCUCUUGCUAGUUUCAACUGAUCUAACGUUGAAUAUAAUUUUGGUAUUAGUAGAUCUGGUGGCAGAGAAUGCAAUUUUCUCUAAGGGAAUCCACCAUAGUUGAAUGAGUUUUCAUGGGUCGACUGUCGUUGCUUAUGGAACUGAACCUGGGUGAUCUAUCCAUGACCAUGAUGAAGCUUGGGUGAAAUUAAGUCGAGGUGUUAACUGACUAAUGUUGAAGAAGCAACAGAUGAGUUGUGAUUAGGGUUGAAAUGCCAAUCGAAACCAUAACUAGCUAGUUCUACUUGAAAUGCGUUGAGGUCGACUAGUGAGACGAUGGGUAAUAAGCUUAAUUUUCAAGGGAAACAACUCGGAUCAUCAACUAAGCCCCUUAAAUGACCAUUAAAUGAUAAAGAAGGUAGGGGUGCAGAGAAAACCAAGAGGUUUGCCUAGAAGCACCAACCAUUGAAGCUAGCAUAAUAACUCACCGAUCUAACACUAUUGCACCGAAGAUGAAUGGGGCUAAACGAUUUAUCGAAGCUGUGAGAUAUAAAAAUGCAUCGGUAGGAGAGCGUUUCGCCUUAGAGGGAAGCAACCGCGCAAGCAGGUGUGGAUGAAGGAAAAGUGAGAAUGUCGGCUUGAGUAAUGCAAACAUUGGUGAGAGUCCAAUGCCCUCAAAACAUAAGGGUUCCUCCACAAGGUUCUUCCAUGGAGGGUGAGCGAGGGCCUAAGAUCAGGCCGAAAGGCGUGAAUAUUCCUGAACUAACCCCGCGAACAGAGGAGGCGAGGUUAGCCGAAUGAUGAUUAUCGAUUCAAGGGCCCAAUGCCACCUUGUUUUUCAGGAUAAGAAAAUAAGGGGUAUUGAAAAUGCCUUGAUCACAUGUUUGCUUCCGGGCGCUACGACACUGAAGUAACUUAUGUCGUGCUCUCAGGAAGAGCUCGAACGACCUUCAACAAGAGGGUACAUGUACUGAAAUCGACACAGGUGAACAAGUAGAGAAUAUCUAUUGGCAAGAAGCAACUUUCUGUAAGGAACUCAAUAAAAAAAGGCCAACAAAUUUUGGAUAGGGGCCUCAAAAAGGGGGUUGCAGUGACCAGGCCCAGCUAAUUGUUCACCAAAAACACAUGUCUUCGUAAAGUCGUGUGACAAUGUAUGGGGGUUGACAAUGGAAGGUCAAGGAAGUUGGUGAUCUGAUGACAGAAGAUCUAACGACCAAAGCCGUAGUGAAUGGCAAUCGUAACUACAACGAUCUUAAGAUAGCAAAAUUCCUUGUGAGGUAAGUUCCGAUCGACACGAAAAGCGCAAUGAUCUUGACACUAUCUCAGAGAAAGGAUCAAUAAUAUAGACAUGUUCGUGAUAACGUGAACUACCUGCACCUAGACAUAAAACCUUAUGAAGCUUUAUUGUUCCCUGGAAUUGGCUUUUGCUUUUUCCUGUGUAGCUUAAGUGGAGUGAGAUACCACUCAGUAGAGCUAACAUUGUGUCAAAACCUACGACCAAGGGAUGGUCUCAAGUAGACGGUUUCUUUGGGGUGCGAGCCUCCAAAAAGGUAACAGAGGCGCAAAAAGGUUUUUUCAGGCCAGAUGGAAAUCGGACCUCGAGUUCAAGCGCAUAAGGGAGCUUGACUACAAGACCUACCCAUCGAGCAAGGAUGAAAGUCGACCUUAGUGAUCCGACAAUGUUGAAUGUAUGGUCCCUCACUCAUCAUGAGUUUGCAUGGGAGGUAAGAUUUGGCGCCUCAACGUUGGUUCUUCGUCACCUGGAACUGUAGUAUGUUCCAAGGGUUGGGUUGUUCACCCAUUAAAGCGGUACGCGACUGGGUUUAGAAUGUUGUGAGAAAGUUCAAUCAUAUUGAUUAUUUUAUGUACUAUUUAAUUUCUUAUGUAUUUUUGUUCAAAUACAUAUUCAUUGUAAUGAAUCAUAACUAUGGAACACGAUUCUUAAUAAAUUGAUUCCAAAAUAGCAUAUCCAAUUUAGGAGAAUCCCACAUAAGCUACAAAUGUAGAAUUCAUGCAUUGGUCUUGCAAUUUUGAACUUUUUCUAAUAUGUAAAUAAAUUGCAAAUAUUGUUCAAGCAAUAAAUGCCAAAGUUUCCUUGGGUUCUCAAUU
rnacentral:rRNA from 1 species